rnacentral:rRNA from 1 species
UACGUAGGGUGCGAGCGUUAAUCGGAAUUACUGGUCGUAAAGCGUGCGCAGGCGGUUUGUUAAGACAGGUGUGAAAUCCCCGGGCUCAACCUGGGAAUGGCGCUUGUAACUGGCAGGCUAGAGUGUGUCAGAGGGAGGUAGAAUUCCACGUGUAGCAGUGAAAUGCGUAGAGAUGUGGAGGAAUACCGAUGGCGAAGGCAGCCUCCUGGGAUAACACUGACGCUCAGGCACGAAAGCGUGGGGAGCAAACAGG